UCAGCCAAUAAGGUGAUUGUCCCGCCCUUUAAAAUGCGUUACUGAGAUUUUGCUCAGAUUGCGUCAGACACGCUUGAGAGCUCAAAGUUGACGGUUGCUGAAGAAUCUUGGAAAUCGCCCCAUUGUUUUGGUUCCUGGCGGGAUUUUUCUCUUCCAGAUAGUAGACAUUGGAGCAACACCAUGCCUGGAUCACAUGAGUAAGUACUUUCUGCAUGACUCUGUGGCCCUGUGAAGAGGCCUGCCCAGUCCGUGUUGGAAUAAAGUGUAGGAAGUUUCAGAUUGAACCUUUUCGAACCCAAAAAGAGCCGACCACCAUGUGGUGUAUUGGCCGUUAUGCCAGAACCCACAAAAAUAUAUCUGAACUCAUCUGGCCAACCAGUGCAUGACAGGUGAACCCAAGGCAGCCUGAAAGAAGUAGCUUGCUGCAACCAAGGACUCAGUGAAAAGGUGGACACUAAAAGGCCGUCGGUGGGAUUACCGUCAGCUCUGCAGGUGAAGCCCAGAUGCCACGGGCAGGUACGGUCUUCUCCAACAACUACAGGAAGACGAGUUCAUACAUAGUUCUGAACCCGCCAGAUGAUGAUGAGCUGUCGAGAUUGAGGAGGGAGGCAGCAGCUGCAGCAGUUGCCCACAAACCUGCCCGCUCCUCCGGGCAGAGGAGCCAAUAGUGUAAGAGUCGUCGUCCCAGUCAAAAAGCGAGGAUGAAGAGCAAUUGGGAAGCUCGCAGAGCUCCAGGACUCAGCAGGGGGCCUGCAAGUCCAUAAAGGAGAUGGGACUGUACAAGAAAGCGGCCUCUGACAACCCCCUUCUCCAGCACUACAAGGCCCACUUGAAAGACAAAUUAAAAAUGACAAACGCCAAGCAAGAGAUGGCAAUCGUGUGUUGAUGGCUGAAGUUCCUGGUUCCAGUUGCCGCUCAGGUGACGGCAGGGUUUAAGAAAGAACAGAAGACAGGGGAGUAUGUGAAGAAGCUGAAGGUGGCCAAGCUGAGGAUGGCCACUAUCAGCCAGGCGUUGGCCAGCAUGGUGUGUUUCACCAAGUUCUUUGCCAAAGGGCAGUGGAGAAGCAAGGAGACUUAGUAUGCGAUGCUUUCACCCAGGCACUCAGGUUCGCCAUCAAGACACUCAGGAGCAAGGACAAACGGAGCAAAAGGCAAGUGAGUGAAAAGCUCCAGACUAACGACUUAAUGUCAGUCUGGAGCUAUCGUAGGGCCCGAGAAACCAAAACCGGAGUUUCUCGCCCUGUCCAGAGACAAGAGGCUGCUUUGAGAGAGCAGCUAUAAUUCAGCUGAAAAAAGAUUUUGCCAUCUAUAAGAAAUACAGAGCAAACUGGACUAGAGGAAGCUAAGAUCCUUCAAGGUUUGCACCAAGAUGCUGCAGAUCUUCUAUAAAUCUGUUGCUGAGAGCGUCAUUUCUUCUGCUGGGGCAGCAGCAUCAGAGCCAAGGACCUAAAAAGGCUCGACAGCCUGAUAAAGAAGACGGGUUCUGUUCUGGUUCUGUGGAACCUCUGCAGAUGAUUAUGCAAAGAAGGAUUUUUCAUAAAAUCAAGAAAAUUAUGGACAACCCUGACCGUCGUCUUCAUGAGACUGUCUUAGGAAGGCAGAGCAUCUUCAGCCAGAGGCUUCUUCAGAUUUACUGUAAUACAGACUGCUGCAGGAGACCUUUCCCGCCAACAGCCAUUACAGUCUAUAAUAACUCUUUGAAGAAUCUAAAUGAAUGAGUUACAACAACAUUUAAUUUCCCUUUGGGAUUAAUAAGGUAUUUUUGAAUUUGUAAUGAAAACACAGCUACUGUUGCAGAGGUUCAGACUGUAUUUAGAGCAAAACUCUCCAUCUGUACUGAGGCUCAGCAGCCUGGCCCUGCCUGUGCAUCGAGACGGCCUUCAGAGGGCUCCUGUAAUUGGAGAGACAAAGAAAGGAGAGCUGGCAAGGUUUUAACAAUCCCACGUCAGCAAGGCUCCAUCAGCCGUGAAACAAAAAGAAGCCGGUGAUUCAUCCGGCAGAAGAAGGGUGGAGAGGUGGGGGGAAGGCAGCAAGGAAUUAUCCAGAAAGGUCAUCCUCAAUUUCUGUCCAGAAAUGAUCUUUUCCCACUAUGUAAUAAACAUUUAUCUGAACCCUU